CAGUCGCCGCGGGAAUACGAAGGUCCCGAGCGUUGUUCGGAAUCACUGGGCGUAAAGGGAGCGUAGGCGGCGUGGUAAGUCAGAUGUGAAAUCCCGGGGCUCAACCCCGGAACUGCAUCCGAUACUGCCGUGCUAGAGGAUUGGAGAGGUAGCUGGAAUUCUUGGUGUAGCAGUGAAAUGCGUGGAGAUCAAGAGGAACACUCGUGGCGAAAGCGAGCUACUGGACAAUAUCUGACGCUGAGGCUCGAAGGCCAGGGUAGCGAAAGGGAUUAGAUACCCCUGUAGUCCCUGUCUCUUAUAC
rnacentral:rRNA from 1 species